AGUAACCGCUCGCAGUCGGCCUAACUCAUGCAAGUCGAACGCCAGCUCCGUAAGCCCUUGCUCUUACGUGCGUCGACAGGCGUACGGGUCAGGCAUCCCUCGGAAUCUACUUUUUCGUGCGCGAUAACGUAGGCCAACUUACGCCAAUACCGCAUACGACCUACGGGUGAAAGCAGUGCAUCUUCGGACCUUGCGCGCUUGAAUGAGCCGAUGUCGGAUUAGCUAGUUGGCGGGGUAAAGGCCCACCAAGGCGCCGAUCCGUAGCUGGUCUGAGAGGAUGUUCGGCCACACUGGAACUGAGACACGGUGCAGACUCCGACGCAGGGAAGCAGUGGGGAAUAUGGGACAAUGGGCGAAAGCAUGAUCCAGCCGUACCGAGUGGGUGAAGAAGGCCUUCGGGUGGGAAAGCCGUGUUGUGGAGAAAGAAAAGCAGCAGAUGAAUACCGCGCUGUUCUGACGGUACCCAAAGAAUAAGCGCCGGCGAACUUCGUG
rnacentral:rRNA from 1 species